rnacentral:rRNA from 1 species
AUUGAACGCUGGCGGCAGGCCUAACACAUGCAAGUCGAGCGGAUGAAGGGAGCUUGCUCCUGGAUUCAGCGGCGGACGGGUGAGUAAUGCCUAGGAAUCUGCCUGGUAGUGGGGGAUAACGUCCGGAAACGGGCGCUAAUACCGCAUACGUCCUGAGGGAGAAAGUGGGGGAUCUUCGGACCUCACGCUCUCAGAUGAGCCUAGGUCGGAUUAGCUAGUUGGUGGGGUAAAGGCCUACCAAGGCGACGAUCCGUAACUGGUCUGAGAGGAUGAUCAGUCACACUGGAACUGAGACACGGUCCAGACUCCUACGGGAGGCAGCUGUGGGGAAUAUUGGACAAUGGGCGAAAGCCUGAUCCAGCCAUGCCGCGUGUGUGAAGAAGGUCUUCGGAUUGUAAAGCACUUUAAGUUGGGAGGAAGGGCAGUAAGUUAAUACCUUGCUGUUUUGACGGUACCAACAGAAUAAGCACCGGCUAACUUCGUG